UUGGGCCCAGAUCCGUUAACCCGUGAAAAAAUUAGAGUGUUCAAAGCAGGCAGAUCCAAUUUUCUGCCACCGAAUACAUUAGCAUGGGAUAAUGGAAUAGGACCCUGUCCUCCUAUUUUCAGUUGGUUUUGGCAGCGCGAGGACUAGGGUAAUGAUUAAUAGGGAUAGUUGGGGGCAUUAAUAUUUAAUUGUCAGAGGUGAAAUUCUUGGAUUUAUGAAAGAUUAACUUCUGCGAAAGCAUCUGCCAAGGAUGUUUUCAUUAAUCAAGAACGAAAGUUAGGGGAUCGAAGACGAUCAGAUACCGUCGUAGUCUUAACCAUAAACGAUGCCGACCAGCGAUUAGGAGACGUUGAAUACAAAACACCACCAUCGGCGCGGUCGUCCUUGGCGUGUCUCGGCUUCACGGCCGGGGCGCGCGAGGGCGGUUUAGCCCGGUGGCACCGGAA
rnacentral:rRNA from 1 species